GAUGAACGCUAGCUACAGGCUUAACACAUGCAAGUCGAGGGGCAGCAUGACCUAGCAAUAGGUUGAUGGCGACCGGCGCACGGGUGAGUAACACGUAUCCAACCUGCCGAUUAUUCCGGGAUAGCCUUUCGAAAGAAAGAUUAAUACUGGAUAGCAUAACGAGAAGGCAUCUUCUUGUUAUUAAAGAAUUUCGAUAAUCGAUGGGGAUGCGUUCCAUUAGUUUGUUGGCGGGGUAACGGCCCACCAAGACAUCGAUGGAUAGGGGUUCUGAGAGGAAGGUCCCCCACAUUGGAACUGAGACACGGUCCAAACUCCUACGGGAGGCAGCAGUGAGGAAUAUUGGUCAAUGGACGAGAGUCUGAACCAGCCAAGUAGCGUGAAGGAUGACUGCCCUAUGGGUUGUAAACUUCUUUUAUAUGGGAAUAAAGUGGGCCACGUGUGGCUUUUUGUAUGUACCAUACGAAUAAGGAGCGGCUAACUCCGUG
rnacentral:rRNA from 1 species